rnacentral:rRNA from 1 species
UACAGAGGGUGCAAGCGUUGUUCGGAAUUAUUGGGCGUAAAGCGCGUGUAGGCGGUGAUGUAUGUCGGGUGUGAAAGCCCUCAGCUUAACUGAGGAAGUGCGCCCGAAACUACAUCGCUAGAGUGCCGGAGAGGGUGGCGGAAUUCCCGGUGUAGAGGUGAAAUUCGUAGAUAUCGGGAGGAACACCAGUGGCGAAGGCGGCCACCUGGACGGACACUGACGCUGAGACGCGAAAGCGUGGGUAGCAAACAGGAUUAGAAACCCUCGUAGUCC